GAUGAACGCUGACAGAAUGCUUAACACAUGCAAGUCAUUGGCGAAGCUGCGCUUGCGCAGUCUAGCCAAGGCGGACGGGUGAGUAACGCGUAAGGAACUUGCCCUGCAGACAGGGAUAACAGACGGAAACGACUGAUAACACCUGGUAUUGUCAGGCUGGCGCAUGCCGGCCUGAUGAAAGGAGACGCUGCAGGAGAGCCUUGCGUCCUAUUAGCUAGUUGGUGGGGUAACGGCCCACCAAGGCGAUGAUAGGUAGCCGGCCUGAGAGGGUGAACGGCCACGAGGGGACUGAGAUACGGCCCUUACUCCUACGGGAGGCAGCAGUGGGGAAUAUUGGACAAUGGGGGCAACCCUGAUCCAGCAAUUCUGUGUGCACGAAGAAGGUUUUCGGAUUGUAAAGUGCUUUCAGCAGGGAAGAAGAAAGUGACGGUACCUGCAGAAGAAGCGACGGCUAAAUACGUG
rnacentral:rRNA from 1 species